rnacentral:lncRNA from 1 species
CUAUUAUGGCUCCUUUAAAACUUAAAAAAAUGGAAGGCUUAAGGAUUCUAUUAUGGGCUAAAGUGAAGGAUACAAUUAGAAUGUUUACUGGAACUCAGCUUUUGAGGGUUCUUAAGCCAAGAGAAGAGUGGAAGCAAGAGUUCAAGUUUGAACCUUUUACGGUUACAGAGCUGUAAGGAAAUGAAUAACUAGAAGUUUUUCAUUUGGGAUGGAAAAAAAAAUAUAUAUAUAUGUAUAAAACAAAGCAGAUUCCCAUUCAGGCUUUGCUGAGUAUCACACAAAGAAAUGAUUUUGGACCUAAAGGAAAACCAUUUUUCUGGGGACAGUGCUUUCCUGCUAACAAUCCAUGGAGGGAGACUAGCCGCUGUCUUUCUUCAGCCCCAUGUUACCUCUUCUGUCCAUCAUGUUCUUUCAAAGAGACAGAAGUAUCUCUGACAUAAUGUUGGACAGUUCAUCCAGUCUUGGGUUUGAAGCAGCAUAUAAGAUUCAUAGAUAUUUGUAUUUCCCAGACCUCAUCAAGAAGAGAAGAAAGAGGAAAUUUUGGAGAUCUACAUUCUCUGCAACAAAUAGAGAAAACACACCCAGAGGUUUUCCUUCUGGAGGCUGCUGGAGUUUAGGAGAGGAGUGUAUGUUUACUGAGCACGUCUCCUUUUAAGACUUCAUCCUGAAGAGAAAUAUGUGACUUUACCACUCUAUUAGACUGACCUAAGAACAAAAACUUAACCUCGAUGGCAAUUGAGAGAUCAAAAGCAAUUCAGAGAACAUUAAAUAUUGAACAUCUCUGUCUGUCUAAUUGGAUUCUUCUUGCCUCUUCUGUACACACAUGUUCACUUUUAUAGUCAGUUUCAAGUUAAUGUCUUUUCUUCCAGUAGGGUGCAUUGUGGUUGUGCUAAUCAAAAUGUAUUUGAACAUAGACUCCACCGACUCAGUGAAUGCAUGUAUUUUAACAUGUACAUGUGUGUGAGUGAGGACACAUGUAUAAGAGUCAGGUAGGGACAUCAUUGGUACAAGACUACAUGGCUCAUCCCACUUGUAUAAAAGUCAAAAGGUAACUUUGGAUGGGAAAUGUUUCUAUUAGUUCACUACUCUUUCCCUUUUGCUUCACAGAUAGCCCAAGGGUCUUGCCUUUUCAUUGAUCUAGGCUAUGGAGG